ACGGAAAGUAAGAUUUCCGUUCACUCCUCACACCACACCCCGCCUGAAGUUUCUUUAGGCGGUU
rnacentral:antisense_RNA from 1 species